CAGUCGAAACGAUACUGGAGCACUUUUUUUGCACAUACCUAAAGGAAAAUCCCAAAUAACGAGCAACUAGCGACGUUGUUUAAGUGCAAUAGAGGAACUGUACGAGACAGUUUACCCGUACACGGUGCGUUGCGGAGGGAUUUAGAAAUAAAAACCCAGUGUUGUGCAGUUGCAUUCCCGACCACUUCACUUGUGCUGGAUACGGGGAGGCUUUGACUUUUUUCAUCCCAGUUUCUGUCUCAAAACAACCGUAUUCUCGUCUAAAUCUGCUGAAGAACCUGACGGGGCAGAAGCCAUCAUCCCACAGAACAUACUAAAGGCCUGGGGAAGUCAUUAGCCACCACACACAACAGGACACUGGCCGGUGGUGGCUGGUCCCCUGCAAAAAGGUGAGGUGCCUGAGGUCCCUCCGCCCCCUCUGGACAUCGAGGUAGGGGGCCUACAGUACCUCGUAGACUGGGAGGGGUACGGUCCGGAGGAGAGAUGCUGGGUUCCGGUGGGGGACAUUUUGGACCCUUCUCUCCUGAGAGAUUUCUACCGCCUCCACCCGGAUCG